GAUGAAGAACGUAGUGAAAUGCGAUAAGUAAUGUGAAUUGCAGAGUUCAGUGAAUCAUCGAAUCUUUGAACGCACAUUGCGCCCGUUAGUAUUCUGACGGGCAUGCCUGUCCGAGCGUCAUUUCAACCCUCAAGCACGGCUUGGUGUUGGCGGAUUGCGUGCCCUAGCGGCGCUGAACCCGCCCAAAUAUAGUGGCGGUCCCGCUGCGGCUCCCUUUGCGUAGUAACUCACCUCGCACUGGACCGGGCGGCGGCUCGCCGUAAAACCCCAACUCACGAAAUGUUGACCUCGGAUCAGGUAGGAAUACCCGCUGAACUUAAGCAUAUCAAUAAGCGGAGGA
rnacentral:misc_RNA from 1 species